GAUGAACGCUGGCGGCGUGCCUAAUACAUGCAAGUCGAGCGAACAGACGAGGAGCUUGCUCCUCUGACGUUAGCGGCGGACGGGUGAGUAACACGUGGAUAACCUACCUAUAAGACUGGGAUAACUUCGGGAAACCGGAGCUAAUACCGGAUAAUAUAUUGAACCGCAUGGUUCAAUAGUGAAAGACGGUUUUGCUGUCACUUAUAGAUGGAUCCGCGCCGCAUUAGCUAGUUGGUAAGGUAACGGCUUACCAAGGCAACGAUGCGUAGCCGACCUGAGAGGGGGACCGCCCACACUGGAACUGAGACACGCCCCAGACUCCUACGGGGGGCAGCAGUGGGGACUCUUCCGCAAGGGGCGAAAGCCUGACGGCGCAGCGCCGGUUGAGUAAUGAAGUUCUUCGGAUCGUAAAACUUUUUUAUUGGGGAAAAACAAAUGUGUAAGUAUCUAUGCACGUCUUGACGGUACCUAAUCAGAAGGCCACGGCUAACUCCGUG
rnacentral:rRNA from 1 species